AUUGAGCGCUGGCGGCAGGCCUAACACAUGCAAGUCGAACGGUAACAGGAAGAAGCUUGCUUCUUUGCUGACGAGUGGCGGACGGGUGAGUAAUGUCUGGGAAACUGCCUGAUGGAGGGGGAUAACUACUGGAAACGGUAGCUAAUACCGCAUAACGUCGCAAGACCAAAGAGGGGGACCUUCGGGCCUCUUGCCAUCGGAUGUGCCCAGAUGGGAUUAGCUAGUAGGUGGGGUAACGGCUCACCUAGGCGACGAUCCCUAGCUGGUCUGAGAGGAUGACCAGCCACACUGGAACUGAGACACGGUCCAGACUCCUACGGGAGGCAGCAGUGGGGAAUAUUGCACAAUGGGCGCAAGCCUGAUGCAGCCAUGCCGCGUGUAUGAAGAAGGCCUUCGGGUUGUAAAGUACUUUCAGCGGGGAGGAAGGGAGUAAAGUUAAUACCUUGGCUCAUUGACGUUACCCGCAGAAGAAGCACCGGCUAACUCCGUG
rnacentral:rRNA from 1 species